rnacentral:rRNA from 1 species
AUUGAACGCUGGCGGCAGGCCUAACACAUGCAAGUCGAACGAGUGGCGGACGGGUGAGUAAUGUCUGGGAAACUGCCUGAUGGAGGGGGAUCACUACUGGAAACGGUCGCUAAUACCGCAUACCAUCGGAUGUGCCCAGAUGGGAUUAGCUAGUAGGUGGGGUAAAGGCUCACCUAGGCGACGAUCCCUAGCUGGUCUGAGAGGAUGACCAGCCACACGGGAACUGAGAGACGGUCCAGACUCCUACGGGAGGCAGCAGUGGUGCAUAUGGCACAAGGGGCGCAAGCCUGAUGCAGCCAUGCCGCGUGUAUGAAGAAGGCCUUCGGGUUGUAAAGUACUUGCAGCUGGGAGGCGUUACCCGCAGAAGAAGCACCGGCUAACUCCGUGCCAGCAGCCGCGGUAAUUC